GUUUUGGGGACGGGGGCUGGUGAGGCUCACGUUGGAGGGCUUCGCGUCUGCUUCGGAGACCGUAAGGGAAGGGAGUGAACAGGCACCACUAAUGAGCGAAGAUGAACUGAUUAACAUAAUAGAUGGUGUUUUGAGAGAUGAUGACAAGAACAAUGAUGGAUACAUUGACUAUGCUGAAUUUGCAAAAUCACUGCAGUAGAUGUUAUUUGGCCAUCUCCUGGUUAUAUACAAAUGUGACCCGUCAUAAUGUGAUUGAACACUUUCGUAAUGCAAAAUAACUCAUUUCCAACUACUGCUGCAGCAUUUUGGUAAAAACCUGUAGCGAUUCGUUACACUGGGGUGAGAAGAGAUAAGAGAAAUAAAAGAGAAGAGAAAUGGGACAUCUAAUAGUCCCUAAGUGCUAUUAAAUACCUUAUUGGACAAGGGCUUGCUUCAAGCAUCUGUAUUAGUCUGUUUUAAUGCUGCUGAUAAAGACGUACCCGAGACUGGGUAGAAAAAGAGGUUUACUUGGACUUACAGUUCCACAUGGCUGGGGAGGCCUCGGAAUCAUGGUGGGAGGUGAAAGGCACUUCUUACAUGGCAGCAAGAGAAAAUGAGGAAGAAGCAAAAGUGGAAACCCCUGAUAAACCAUCAGAUCUUGUGAAACUUAUUCACUAUCACAAGAAUAGCAUGGGAAAGACUGGCCCCCAUGAUUCAAUUACCUCCCCUUGGGUCCCUCCCACAACACGUGGCAAUUCUGGUAGAUACAAUUUCAAGUUGAGAUUUGGGUGGGGACACAGCCAAACCAUAUCAUUCUACCCCUGGCCC
rnacentral:sRNA from 1 species